rnacentral:rRNA from 1 species
UACGUAGGUGGCAAGCGUUAUCCGGAUUUAUUGGGCGUAAAGUGUCUGUAGGUGGCUUUUUAAGUCCUCCGUCAAAUCCCAGGGCUCAACCCCGGACAGGCGGUGGAAACUGACAAGCUGGAGUACGGUAGGGGCAGAGGGAAUUUCCGGUGGAGCGGUUAAAUGCGUAGAGAUCGGAAAGAACACCAACGGCGAAAGCACUCUGCUGGACCGAUACCGACACUCAGAGACGAAAGCUAGGGGAGCGAAUGGG